rnacentral:pre_miRNA from 1 species
UAUUAGGUUGGGGCAAAAGUAAUUGCGGUUUUUGCCAUUGAAAGCAAUGGCAAAAACUGCAAUUACUUUUAUACCAACCUAAUA